UCCGUAGGUGAACCUGCGGAAGGAUCAUUAACACUAAUCCAAUCGCCUUAACCUAGCCUUCAGUUGCUGAGUUGAGCUGCUUCGGCAUGUUCGCUUAGCAAUACACAAAACUAAACAAAGGAGCCUAACUAAGCUUCAAAAACAAAACCAAAUUUUCAACGAUGGAUAUCUUGGUUCCCAUAACGAUGAAGAACGCAGCGAAGUGCGAUAAGCAGUGCGAAUUGCAGAACCGUGAGUCAUCAGAUUUUUGAACGCAACUGGCGCCGACUGGCUCUCCGGUCGGCAUGCUUGUUUCAGUGUCUUUUUAUCUCAUCCCCAAUAUCUUAAUGCUGGAGAUACCCUUCUCUGGUUAAGUACGAAAGCACACUGACGUCUGCAGGUGAUCUCAGCUAGUCUGAGGGUCACACUCAAUGCAGCAGUCACAUUGAUAACAGUGUGAACUCAUUGUGAGUAGACUCAGAGCAGUUUAUCUGCAUAGCGCUUAGACACACUAAACUUUAUUGGUAUCUGGAAAUCAAGGCAGGGGACCCACCCGGCUGGAACUUAAGGCAUAUCAAUAAGGCGGGGGAGGGGAAGGUCGGACUGGCCAA
rnacentral:rRNA from 1 species